rnacentral:rRNA from 1 species
AGAGUUUGAUCAUGGCUCAGAUUGAACGCUGGCGGCAGGCCUAACACAUGCAAGUCGAACGGUAACAGGAAGCAGCUUGCUGCUUCGCUGACGAGUGGCGGACGGGUGAGUAAUGUCUGGGAAACUGCCUGAUGGAGGGGGAUAACUACUGGAAACGGUGGCUAAUACCGCAUAACGUCGCAAGACCAAAGAGGGGGACCUUCGGGCCUCUUGCCAUCAGAUGUGCCCAGAUGGGAUUAGCUUGUUGGUGAGGUAACGGCUCACCAAGGCGACGAUCCCUAGCUGGUCUGAGAGGAUGACCAGCCACACUGGAACUGAGACACGGUCCAGACUCCUACGGGAGGCAGCAGUGGGGAAUAUUGCACAAUGGGCGCAAGCCUGAUGCAGCCAUGCCGCGUGUAUGAAGAAGGCCUUCGGGUUGUAAAGUACUUUCAGCGGGGAGGAAGGUGUUGUGGUUAAUAACCGCAGCAAUUGACGUUACCCGCAGAAGAAGCACCGGCUAACUCCGUGCCAGCAGCCGCGGUAAUACGGAGGGUGCAAGCGUUAAUCGGAAUUACUGGGCGUAAAGCGCACGCAGGCGGUCUGUCAAGUCGGAUGUGAAAUCCCCGGGCUCAACCUGGGAACUGCAUUCGAAACUGGCAGGCUUGAGUCUUGUAGAGGGGGGUAGAAUUCCAGGUGUAGCGGUGAAAUGCGUAGAGAUCUGGAGGAAUACCGGUGGCGAAGGCGGCCCCCUGGACAAAGACUGACGCUCAGGUGCGAAAGCGUGGGGAGCAAACAGGAUUAGAUACCCUGUUAGUCCACGCCGUAAACGAUGUCUACUUGGAGGUUGUGCCCUUGAGGCGUGGCUUCCGGAGCUAACGCGUUAAGUAGACCGCCUGGGGAGUACGGCCGCAAGGUUAAAACUCAAAUGAAUUGACGGGGGCCCGCACAAGCGGUGGAGCAUGUGGGGUUUAAUUCGAUGCAACGCGAAGAACCUUACCUGGUCUUGACAUCCACAGAAGAAUCCAGAGAUGGAUUUGUGCCUUCGGGAACUGUGAGACAGGUGCUGCAUGGCUGUCGUCAGCUCGUGUUGUGAAAUGUUGGGUUAAGUCCCGCAACGAGCGCAACCCUUAUCCUUUGUUGCCAGCGAUUAGGUCGGGAACUCAAAGGAGACUGCCAGUGAUAAACUGGAGGAAGGUGGGGAUGACGUCAAGUCAUCAUGGCCCUUACGACCAGGGCUACACACGUGCUACAAUGGCGCAUACAAAGAGAAGCGACCUCGCGAGAGCAAGCGGACCUCAUAAAGUGCGUCGUAGUCCGGAUUGGAGUCUGCAACUCGACUCCAUGAAGUCGGAAUCGCUAGUAAUCGUGGAUCAGAAUGCCACGGUGAAUACGUUCCCGGGCCUUGUACACACCGCCCGUCACACCAUGGGAGUGGGUUGCAAAAGAAGUAGGUAGCUUAACCUUCGGGAGGGCGCUUACCACUUUGUGAUUCAUGACUGGGGUGAAGUCGUAACAAGGUAACCGUAGGGGAACCUGCGGUUG